UCUGUGACCACAGUAGUGUGAUUGAUGAAAAAAAUUUUCAUAGAAGUCACAACUGGACUGGAGCUAAUCGAAUCUAUCAUAUGACUGAUGAUGAGGUUUGAUGAUUUAUCCAUGACCUGCCAUCUAGUCGAAACUCAUGAUAGAGAGAUUGAAUCGUACAUUAACUACACCUAGAGGUUCAUUUCAGUUUUACUAGAGUACCACUACAUACUGCUAGGUGUCACU
rnacentral:lncRNA from 1 species